UACGUAGGGUGCAAGCGUUGUCCGGAAUUAUUGGGCGUAAAGAGCUCGUAGGCGGUUUGUUGCGUCGGCUGUGAAAUCCCGAGGCUCAACCUCGGGUCUGCAGUCGAUACGAGCAAACUAGAGUGUUGCAGGGGAGACUGGAAUUCCUGGUGUAGCGGUGAAAUGCGCAGAUAUCAGGAGGAACACCGGUGGCGAAGGCGGCUUCCUGGACACUAACUGACGCUGAGACGCGAAAGCGUGGGGAGCAAACAGG
rnacentral:rRNA from 1 species